rnacentral:rRNA from 1 species
CCAGACUCCUACGGGAGGCAGCAGUGGGGAAUAUUGCACAAUGGGGGAAACCCUGAUGCAGCAACGCCGCGUGAGUGAAGAAGUCAUUCGUGAUGUAAAGCUCUAUCAGCAGGGAAGAAAAUGACGGUACCUGACCAAGAAGCCCCGGCUAACUACGUGCCAGCAGCCGCGGUAAUACGUAUGGGGCAAGCGUUAUCCGGAUUUACUGGGUGUAAAGGGAGCGCAGGCGGCCUGCCAAGUCUGGUGUGAAAACCCGGGGCCCAACCCCGGGCCUGCAUUGGAAACUGGCGGGCUGGAGUGUCGGAGGGGCAGGCGGAAUUCCUAGUGUAGCGGUGAAAUGCGUAGAUAUUAGGAGGAACACCGGUGGCGAAGGCGGCCUGCUGGACGAUGACUGACGCUGAGGCUCGAAAGCGUGGGGAGCAAACAGGAUUAGAUACCCUAGUACA